rnacentral:lncRNA from 1 species
GCCGAAACCCGCGGCGGCAGCCAAUCGGCACUCACUGCUGUGCAAUCGCAAGACCUAGCUGCAGUACGAUUGGCCUCCGGCCGCCGCCAGCGGUCCCAGGAGCCGGAGAAGCUGGACCCAGGUCGUGGCUGCCGACCUGCCGGGCUCGUCUGUGGCUGCUCCCUGCCAGCCAGUGCGGAAACCGCAGAUGGGGCGCGCGGGCCCUCUGCACAGCCGGUCCGAAACUGCUGCGGUCGGCGGGGCUGGGAGCGGGGCGCAGGAGCGAGCAGAGAGACUGAGGGCUCUCCCCACCCACUGGGGGUUCCCCGCGGGACGCGGCUCAUUCUGCAAGCCCGAGGCUUCCAGCCGCGCGGGAUCGUGCCUGCGGAGGGUCGGGCAACGACCUGCCCUAAAGAGCUGGAUGGACCCAGUAGCCGCCCAAACUGGGUACGAGCGCUCAGACGCAGAAAUGGGAACAAAGCUUCCAGAAGGGCAGAGCCCUAAGUGGCCGCGCCCCGCCCAGCCGCGGGGGCCACUGAUAGCGGUGGCCCCCUGCGCCUAUCCGCGGCCAGGCCCUGCCUUCUGGAAACGCCCCUGAGAGAUGAGCUCAUGCCAGAUGCGCGCGCUCCUUGGCGCCUCUGCCCAGGCUGAACGGGACCCAAAAGCAGAAUUAUAGAAUACCCAUAAACACAAGGACAAAUGGCACUGUGAUCCAAGUCUUUGUAUCAAGC